rnacentral:tRNA from 1 species
GGCCCGUUGGUCAAGCGGUUAAGACACCGCCCUUUCACGGCGGUAACACGGGUUCGAAUCCCGUACGGGACGCCA